rnacentral:rRNA from 1 species
UACGGGGGGUGCGAGCAUUAUUCGGAAUUAUUGGGCGUAAAGGGCGCGCAGGCGGUUGAAUAAGACAGGUGUGAAAGCCCUUGGCUUAAACAAGGAAGUGCAUUUGAUACUAUUUGACUUGAGUAUGGGAGACGGAAGUGGAAUUCCUGGUGUAGAGGUGAAAUUCGUAGAUAUCAGGAGGAACACCGGUGGCGAAAGCGACUUCCUGGACCAAUACUGACGCUGAGGCGCGCAGUCGUGUGGAGCAAACAGG